rnacentral:rRNA from 1 species
CCCUUAGACGUCCUGGGCCGCACGCGUGCUACACUGACGCCUACAGCGAGUACUUCCCAGCCCCGAGAGGUGGCUGGUAAUCAGCAAUAGGCGUCGUGAUGGGGAUAGAUCUUUGGAAUUAUGGAUCUUGAACGAGGAAUGCCUAGUAAGCGCAGGUCAUUAGCCUGCGCUGAUUAAGUCCCUGCCCUUUGUACACACCGCCCGUCGCUCCUACCGAUUUCGAGUGGUCCGGUGAAUCUUUCGGACUGCGCGCGGCCUCGUGCCGUGUCGCGGAAAGUCAGGUAAACCUUAUCACUUAGAGGAAGGAGAAGUCGUAACA